rnacentral:rRNA from 1 species
GGUUAAGCGACUAAGCGUACACGGUGGAUGCCCUGGCAGUCAGAGGCGAUGAAGGGCGUGCUAAUCUGCGAUAAGCGCCGGUAAGGUGAUAUGAACCGUUAUAACCGGCGAUACCCGAAUGGGGAAACCCAGUGUGACUCGUCACACUAUCAUUAACUGAAUCCAUAGGUUAAUGAGGCGAACCGGGGGAACUGAAACAUCUAAGUACCCCGAGGAAAAGAAAUCAACCGAGAUUCCCCCAGUAGCGGCGAGCGAACGGGGAGGAGCCCAGAGCCUGAAUCAGCAUGUGUGUUAGUGGAAGCGUCUGGAAAGGCGCGCGAUACAGGGUGAUAGCCCCGUACACAAAAGCGCAUGUGUUGUGAGCUCGAUGAGUAGGGCGGGACACGUGGUAUCCUGUCUGAAUAUGGGGGGACCAUCCUCCAAGGCUAAAUACUCCUGACUGACCGAUAGUGAACCAGUACCGUGAGGGAAAGGCGAAAAGAACCCCGGCGAGGGGAGUGAAAAAGAACCUGAAACCGUGUACGUACAAGCAGUGGGAGCACAGGUUUACCUGUGUGACUGCGUACCUUUUGUAUAAUGGGUCAGCGACUUAUAUUCUGUAGCAAGGUUAACCGAAUAGGGGAGCCGGAGGGAAACC